UAAAGACGGUUCGCAGUUAGUUCG
rnacentral:siRNA from 1 species